CAGCAGUGAGGAAUCUUCCACAAUGGGCGAAAGCCUGAUGGAGCAACGCCGCGUGAAGGAUGAAGGCCUUCGGGUUGUAAACUUCUUUUAUGAGUGAAGAAUAUGACGGUAACUCAUGAAUAAGCACCGGCUAACUACGUGCCAGCAGCCGCGGUCAUACGUAGGGUGCAAGCAUUAUCCGGAGUGACUGGGCGUAAAGAGUUGCGUAGGCGGUUUAAUAAGUGAAUAGUGAAACCUGGUGGCUCAACCAUACAGACUAUUAUUCAAACUGUUAAACUCGAGAGUGGUAGAGGUAACUGGAAUUUCUAGUGUAGGAGUGAAAUCCGUAGAUAUUAGAAGGAACACCAAUGGCGUAGGCAGGUUACUGGACCAUUUCUGACGCUAAGGCACGAAAGCGUGGGGAGCGAACUGGAUUAGAUACCCAGGUAGUCCACGCCGUAAACGAUGGAUACUAGCUGUUGGAGGUAUCGACCCCUUCAGUAGCGAAGCUAACGCGUUAAGUAUCCCGCCUGUGGAGUACGGCCGCAAGGCUAAAACAUAAAGGAAUUGACGGGGACCCGCACAAGCGGUGGAUCAUGUUCUUUAAUUCGAUGAUAAACGAAGAACCUUACCAGGGCUUGACAUCCAGGGAAUUUUUGGGAAACCAAUUAGUGCCUUUUGGAACCCUGUGACAGGUGAUGCAUGGCCGUCGUCAGCUCGUGUCGUGAGAUGUUUGGUUAAGUCCAUCAACGAGCGCAACCCUUGUGAAUAGUUGAAUUUUUCUAUUCAGACUGCCCCGGCAACGGGGAGGAAGGAGGGGAUGAUGUCAGGUCAGUAUUUCUCUUACAUCCUGGGCUAGAAACGUGAUACAAUGGCAAGUACAAUGCGCAGCGAAGCCGCGAGGUGAAGCAAAUCGCACCAAAGCUUGUCCCAGUUCGGAUUGGAGGCUGAAACUCGCCUCCAUGAAGUCGGAAUCGCUAGUAAUCGCAGAUCAGCAAGCUGCGGUGAAUACGUUCCCGGGUCUUGUACACACCGCCCGUCAAACCAUGAAAGUGACCAACACCCGAAGUCCGAUUCGUCGGCCUAAGGUGGGGGGCAUGAUUGGGGUUAAGUCGUAACAAGGUAUCCGUACCGGAAGGUGCGGAUG
rnacentral:rRNA from 1 species